GGCGGUUCUUGUGUGACACACCCCAGAAUUGGGCUCCCUCCUCUCUAGUUCAAGGUGCUUCACUGAGAACCACA
rfam:Myotis brandtii contig279147, whole genome shotgun sequence.